CGAUCUCGGCUCACUGCAAGCUCCGCCUCCCGGAUUCACGCCAUUCUCCUGCCUCAGCCUCCCGAGGAGCUGGGACUACAGGGACCCGCCACCACGCCCGGCUAAUUUUUUUGUAUUUUUAGUAGAGACGGGGUUUCACCGUGUUAGCCAGGAUGGUCUCGAUCUCCUGACCUCCUGAUCCGCCCGCCUCGGCCUCCCAAAGUGCUGGGAUUACAGGCGUGAGCCACCGCGCCCGGCCGGUACUCCGAAGCCCUCAGAUCGGCGACCUGGGCGCUGUAGGCACCGAGAAAAUACAGGCACCGAGCCAGAAGCAGUGCCGCAACCAAGAGACCUCGGCUUGGCGAAAUGGCGGCGUCUGGAGCCUGCGAGUGACGCCAGCUGGUGGGGCUGUCAAGGAGAACAUUCGUUACGGCGCAACCAACGGUACUGUCACCAAGAAACCGUCGUCUCUGAGAAAAAAAGAGACGUUCGGCCGCCGAGAAACUCCGUACAAGUGCUGUGACAGAAAAACCGCCGGCUCCGCGCAGCGGCAAAAGAGCCAACGGGAACGCCGGGUGCUGCGACCAUGACCCCGGCACUGGAGGACGUGGGAUGGAGAAUGGGACACACGGAGCGAGAAGGGAAACGUUUCGUGCAGACCAACUAGCGCCGCCGCCACCGGAAAACUGACUCGCCAGUGCUGCCAAUGAAGUGCGUGUGAGAAACCGAUGACUGGUGGGAGGAGCAGCGCUGGGCGCUGGACCCGCGAGUGUGAGAAUCUGGCGGCGCUAGGACCCUUCAGGCGCGGGCACGAGGCGAAACCCAGCGCUGUUGCCAAAGACAAAUGCGCGUUCUUUUGGGCGCCAUCAGCGGUGCAGCCAGUGAUCACUCCCAGGCUCUGAGAAACUAGAGAUGUCAGCCACAAACCCUCCGUUCAGGGAAAGUUUGCGGCGCCGUGACGGAUCGACUGGCACUGGGUGCAACAUUGUCUUGUGGCCUAGAGACUAGAAUAUAAAAACAAAAACCAAAUACAAAACUGCUGCUGGCAUUACUCCUACUCUCCCCCCUCAAGUCAGUGGCUUCAGGCUUAAGAAAACCUGUAUUUUUCUUGGCUGUGCCAUAAUCCGUAAUUACCGAGGCCCCCAGCGACCCACCCAGUGUGAUUCGCAGAGGGAAAGGAGCUGGAAUAAGGACCGUGAAUGGGGCGGAUGUGGCUCGUCCUGGGAGAGAGCUAAAGCUUAUGCUGGUCGCAAACAGCAUUACAUUGCAGGAAACUGCUCUUCCAAUGGCCGUGGCUGGGUCCUUCCACACCAUCCCUCUGCCCUAGACCUUUGUCCCCGUUCAGAGCCAUCAGAGAUUCUAGGAGAGCUGUCGACAACCGCAUCUCUUCGGAACUUGGAAACUCUAGGUUCAAGAUCUCCGUGGAGAAUGAAAGGCACAGUCGCCUGACCCGGGCAUCAGGCUUGCCCCGCACAUCAAGUCCCUCCCCUACUGGAUGGAACUCUGUGGCAAUCGCUCCUUAUUCUGAUGGUUCACUCUGUCAGAUAUCCUCGAUAUUUGGGGAUAGUAGUUCAAAAACAGCCGGGGAGGAAAAUGGGCUGAAAGAUUCCAGCGUUGGAUGUAGAAUUGACAGCGAGACAUACACCUCCUCUCUAAGCCCAGAGAAAAGCUCAAGUUGUGGUUCUCUGUCUCUAGCAGCAUGAUCUUCAAAAUGCAUCAUUGAUUUCUAUCUUCUGGGAAAUGCAAUGCAGGUGAACUUGUAAGUGCUCAAAUCCUCCAUCUCCUCACUUUUCAGACUGAGGCCUUUUUUUUUUUAAAUCUGAGAAGAAAUAUGGGACUGCCACUGCUCAGUAGGAAAAUGUCCUUUCCCACAAGCAUUUAUAUUUUAAUAAAAAUCUGCACUUUGUGAGUUGAGCCCCCUCAAAGAGACCUACAAACCCUGCCACAAAUAUCUCCAACCACACUCAUCAUUUCCGAUUUUCAUCACUGCUGCUCCUGUGCAAACCAAACUAUCCUUUCCCUGGGGCAUCCUAGGUAGAGGCCAUGCCAGGACAAAGGCAGAGAUAUGCCUGCCUGGUAAGGAAAUCCAUUUUGGCCUUGUAAUUCUCACCCUCUCCCAAGAUGUUUGCCUCAAUAUCUCCUUCCCACCUUACCCCGUCUUCAGCUAGCCAAAACAUUCCCUGGUAUUUGAGGCCCUUCCAAUUUCCUCCUGGUUUUGUGGGUGGGAGAAUAAAGAAAAAACUGCACUGUUCCCACCCACAUAGUUACAGCCACUUUAUCAAACGGAAGAGCAGUCUGGAGCCAUUGCAAAACAAAAUACCUGCCACAACUCCUCUCUUCUCAUUUCGACUCCAGCUUUUCAUCUUAGCAAAAAAGUUGCAAUCAGCACCCCCUAGACGGAAGGAAUAUCCUGUCUUAAUGGGAGUCCAUAGGAGGCUGCAGGCUGCUCCCCUACAGAGACUAACAUCAAGGUAGUUGCAGAAUUCAGAUUCUAAUUACAGUGUGGUUGGAGGCGGGGUGGAUUCCAGGGAGGUCAGGAAGAGGUAAAGUACAGAAUUGAGCUCCUUGGGAGGAGGUCAUAGGAACUUUGCAGUAUGAAAAUGGCUAGAGAUUGGGUAGAAUUGAGCAGGCUGGCAAUGGCAGUUUUGUGUGGGUGGUAGGACCUAGGAUUCAAACUUGAGGGCAAAUUGUGGAGCACAUACGACAAAUGAUGUAGAGCCUUUCCUAUUUCCCUUCCUGCUGUGUCAUCCGAAACAAUAAAUAAUAAAGAAUUAACAAAGACUGA
rnacentral:lncRNA from 1 species